CACCAACAUAACUGGCUACUCAGUUCUGGUGGGCUUAGCCUCUGGACUGGAGCCAGUGUGCAGCCAGGCUUACGGCAGUAAGAACUGGGACCUCUUGUCACUCUCUCUCCAACGCAUGAUCUUAAUCCUCUUGAUAGCAAUCAUACCUGUAAGCCUCUUAUGGCUUAAUCUUGAAUCUAUCAUGAACUUCAUGGGUCAAGAUCCAAACAUCACAGCAAUGGCAGCAACAUACUGUAUUUACUCUCUUCCUGAUCUUUUAACAAAUACUUUGCUGCAACCUUUGAGGGUUUUCCUAAGAUCACAGAGGGUGACAAAACCCAUAAUGUACUGCUCACUUCUGGCCGUUAUAUUCCACGUGCCACUGAAUUACAUGCUGGUAGUGGUGAUGGGGCUUGGGGUCGCUGGGGUGGCGAUGGCAUCAGUGGUGACUAACAUGAACAUGGUGAUUUUGAUGGUGGGAUACGUGUGGUGGGUAAGUGGACGGUGGGAGAUGAGAUGGACGGUUAGGAUUGAAGGGGUGUGUGGUGGGGUGGGACCACUGUUUAAGUUGGCAGUGCCUAGUUGUUUAGGUAUAUGCUUGGAGUGGUGGUGGUAUGAGAUAGUGAUAGUAAUGUCCGGGUACUUGCCUAAUCCCACUCUGGCUGUGGCCGCCACUGGGAUACUCAUCCAGACCACUAGCAUGAUGUAUACUGUCCCUAUGGCCCUUGCUGGUUGUGUCUCUGCUCGGGUUUGUCUCUUUCCAUACCCACUUAUAA
rnacentral:misc_RNA from 1 species